AGCGAACGCUGGCGGCAGGCCUAACACAUGCAAGUCGAACGAACCUUUCGGGGUUAGUGGCGGACGGGUGAGUAACACGUGGGAACGUGCCUUUAGGUUCGGAAUAACUCAGGGAAACUUGUGCUAAUACCGAAUGUGCCCUUCGGGGGAAAGAUUUAUCGCCUUUAGAGCGGCCCGCGUCUGAUUAGCUAGUUGGUUGAGGUAAUGGCUCACCAAGGCGACGAUCAGUAGCUGGUCUGAGAGGAUGAUCAGCCACAUUGGGACUGAGACACGGCCCAAACUCCUACGGGAGGCAGCAGUGGGGAAUCUUGCGCAAUGGGCGAAAGCCUGACGCAGCCAUGCCGCGUGAAUGAUGAAGGUCUGAGGAUUGUAAAAUUCUUUCACCGGGGACGAUAAUGACGGUACCCGGAGAAGAAGCCCCGGCUAACUUCG
rnacentral:rRNA from 1 species